rnacentral:rRNA from 1 species
GACGAACGCUGGCGGCGUGCUUAACACAUGCAAGUCGAGCGGUAAGGCCCUUUCGGGGGUACGACGAGCGGCGAACGGGUGAGUAACACGUGGGUGACCUGCCCUCAGCUCUGGGAUAAGCCUGGGAAACCGGGUCUAAUACUGGAUAUGACUCCAUGACGCAUGUUGUGGGGUGGAAAGCCUUGUGCGGCUGAGGAUGGGCCCGCGGCCUAUCAGCUUGUUGGUGGGGUGA